rnacentral:rRNA from 1 species
GACGAACGCUGGCGGCGUGCUUAACACAUGCAAGUCGAACGAAGUGGCGAACGGGUGAGUAACGCGUAAUCAACCUGCCCUUCAGAGGGGGACAACAGUUGGAAACGACUGCUAAUACCGAAUACUGAAGGAGGGGAUUGCGUGGGAUUAGCUAGUUGGGGGGGUAACGGCCCACCAAGGCGAUGAUCCGUAGCCGGGCUGAGAGGAUGAACGGCCACAUUGGGACUGGGACAUGGCCCAGACUCCUACGGGAGGCAGCAGGUGGGGAUCUUCCGCAAUGGACGAAAGUCUGACUGAGCAACGCCGCGUGAGUGAUGGCGGCCUUCGGGUUGUAAAGCUCUGUUAAUCGGGACGCGGUACCGGAAUAGAAAGCCACGGCUAACUACGUGCCAGCCGCCGCGGUAAUAC